rnacentral:ncRNA from 1 species
UAAAGGCAUGGUCCUGACCUUAUUAUUAGCUCUAACCCAACUUACACAUGCAAGUCUCCGCAACCCCGUGAGUAUGCCCUUAAUCCCCUGCCCGGGGACGAGGAGCGGGCAUCAGGCACAAAUUUUUAGCCCAAGACGCCUGGCCGAGCCACACCCCCAAGGGAAUUCAGCAGUGAUAAAUAUUAAGCCAUGAGUGAAAACUUGACUCAGUCAGGGUUAAGAGGGCCGGUAAAACUCGUGCCAGCCACCGCGGUUAAACGAGGGGCCCUAGUUAAUGAUACACGGCGUAAAGGGUGGUUAAGGAAGCAUAGUAAUAAAGUCAAAUGGCCCUUUGGCUGUCAUACGCUUCUAGGUGUCCGAAGCCCAAUAUACGAAAGUAGCUUUAAUAAAGCCCACCUGACCCCACGAAAGCUGAGAAACAAACUGGGAUUAGAUACCCCACUAUGCUCAGCUAUAAACCUAGACGUUCAACUACAAUUAGACGUCCGCCCGGGUACUACGAGCAUUAGCUUGAAACCCAAAGGACCUGACGGUGCCUUAGACCCCCCUAGAGGAGCCUGUUCUAGAACCGAUAACCCCCGUUAAACCUCACCACUUCUAGCCACCCCAGCCUAUAUACCGCCGUCGUCAGCUUACCCUGUGAAGGCAAUAAAAGUAAGCAAAAUGGGCACAACCCAGAACGUCAGGUCGAGGUGUAGCGUACGAAGCGGGAAGAAAUGGGCUACAUUUUCUACAAUAGAACACUACGGACAUGCAACAUGAAAUAGUGCUUGAAGGAGGAUUUAGUAGUAAAAAGGAAGCAGAGUGUCCUUUUGAACCCGGCUCUGAGGCGCGUACACACCGCCCGUCACUCUCCCCUGUCAAAAUGCAAUGAAGCUAACUAACAAUAAAGCGCUGACAAGGGGAGGCAAGUCGUAACAUGGUAAGUGUACCGGAAGGUGCACUUGGAUUAAAUU